CUUUUAAUGCCUAGAAACACAAUAAAUUUUCUUGAAACGACACUACAAAACCAAGUUAAAAUUUGAACACUAUUUUUUUAAAUUGCCAACAACUGACAAUGUAAUCAAUUGCCUUCCAGAGAUAACUCCAUGUCAAGACCAAAAGCCAAGCAACCACAUCAUCAAGAGACAGACUUUUCUUCUUGUGUACACCUGGCAUCAGUAGUAUCAUUGAAUCAUAAGAGAAUGUCCUCAAAAGAUAAGAAGAUAUCAUUUGGCUGAAAGAAUGAAGAAAAAAAGAGGUGGACUCUAUGGCUUAGAUGACUGCAAAUGGAAUACCUUUCACCUCUAAUUGACUGACUGAAACAGAGGCAGUCUCCAUAGAGACCGAAAUUGCUCCCAGAGAGAUGGCAGUUCCACGAGGAGGCUGCAGAUGGAGGACUGGGUCCCCAUUUCUGAGACAUAGGGAGCAAGACGUGAAGACUGGAUUCAUUGCUUUCCAUCGCUCAUUUUAGAGAACUGCUAUCAGUUCUCCAUAUUUUAAAAUACAGUAUUUCUUCACACAGAUUCCAUUUAAAGAAUGAUAACUUGUUUAUGGAAAUACAUUGAGGCUUGGGGAAGUUUCUGAAUCAACCCAGUUCUUAAACUACUGCUAACCCUAUUAAGGUUCCUCUUCCAGCCAUCAAUACGUAUCG
rnacentral:lncRNA from 1 species